UACGGAGGGUGCAAGCGUUGCUCGGAAUUAUUGGGCGUAAAGGGCAAGUAGGUGGUCUCAUUUGUCUGGGGUGAAAGCCUUGAGCUUAACUCAAGAAGUGCCCCAGAAACGGUGAGACUGGAGUCCUGGAGAGGGUCGUGGAAUUCCCGGUGUAGCGGUGAAAUGCGUAGAGAUCGGGAGGAACACCAGAGGCGAAAGCGGCGACCUGGACAGGUACUGACACUCAACUGCGAAAGCGUGGGGAGCAAACAGG
rnacentral:rRNA from 1 species